rnacentral:rRNA from 1 species
ACGGAAGGCAGCAGUGGGGAAUAUUGGACAAUGGGCGAAAGCCUGAUCCAGCGAUGCCGCGUGAGUGAUGAAGGUCUUAGGAUUGUAAAGCUCUUUUGACAGGGACGAUGAUGACGGUACCUGUAGAAUAAGCACCGGCUAACUCUGUGCCAGCAGCCGCGGUAAUACAGAGGGUGCUAGCGUUGUUCGGAAUGACUGGGCGUAAAGGGCGUGUAGGCGGUUGUGUAAGUCAGAUGUUAAAAACCUGGGCUUAACCUGGGGGGUGCGUUUGAUACUGCGUAACUAGAGUGCAGGAGAGGAGAGUGGAAUUUCCGGUGUAGAGGUGAAAUUCGUAGAUAUCGGAAGGAACACCAGUGGCGAAGGCGGCUCUCUGGACUGUUACUGACGCUGAGGCGCGAAAGCGUGGGGAGCAAACAGGAUUAGAUACCCUGGUA